UGCAAGUCGAACGAUGAAGCCCAGCUUGCUGGGUGGAUUAGUGGCGAACGGGUGAGUAACACGUGAGUAACCUGCCCUUGACUCUGGGAUAAGCGCUGGAAACGGCGUCUAAUACCGGAUACGACCUGCCCCGGCAUCGGGUGCGGGUGGAAAGUUUUUCGGUCAAGGAUGGACUCGCGGCCUAUCAGCUUGUUGGUGAGGUAAUGGCUCACCAAGGCGACGACGGGUAGCCGGCCUGAGAGGGUGACCGGCCACACUGGGACUGAGACACGGCCCAGACUCCUACGGGAGGCAGCAGUGGGGAAUAUUGCACAAUGGGCGAAAGCCUGAUGCAGCAACGCCGCGUGGGGGAUGACGGCCUUCGGGUUGUAAACCUCUUUUAGUAGGGAAGAAGGACUUCGGUUUGACGGUACCUGCAGAAAAAGCACCGGCUAACUACGUGCCAGCAGCCGCGGUAAUACGUAGGGUGCAAGCGUUGUCCGGAAUUAUUGGGCGUAAAGAGCUCGUAGGCGGUUUGUCGCGUCUGCUGUGAAAACCCGAGGCUCAACCUCGGGCCUGCAGUGGGUACGGGCAGACUAGAGUGCGGUAGGGGAGAAUGGAAUUCCUGGUGUAGCGGUGGAAUGCGCAGAUAUCAGGAGGAACACCGAUGGCGAAGGCAGUUCUCUGGGCCGUUACUGACGCUGAGGAGCGAAAGCGUGGGGAGCGAACAGGAUUAGAUACCCUGGUAGUCCACGCCGUAAACGUUGGGAACUAGAUGUGGGGACCUUUCCACGGUCUCCGUGUCGCAGCUAACGCAUUAAGUUCCCGCCUGGGGAGUACGGCCGCAAGGCUAAAACUCAAGGAAUUGACGGGGGCCGCACAAGCGGCGGAGCAUGCGGAUUAAUUCGAUGCAACGCGCAGAAACUUACCAAGGCUUGACAUAUACCGGAAACUCCAGAAUGGUUGCCCCGCAAGGUCGGUAUACAGGUGGUGCAUGGUUGUCGUCAGCUCGUGUCGUGAGAUGUUGGGUUAAGUCCCGCAAC
rnacentral:rRNA from 1 species